UACGAAGGGUGCAAACGUUGCUCGGAAUUAUUGGGCGUAAAGCGCACGUAGGCGGCUUGGCAAGUCGGAUGUGAAAUCCCUCGGCUCAACCAAGGAAGUGCAUCCGAAACUGCUGAGCUUGAGUACUUAAGAGGAUCGCGGAAUUCCCGGUGUAGAGGUGAAAUUCGUAGAUAUCUGAAGGAACACCAGUGGCGAAAGCGGCUUCCUGGUCCAGCACCGACACUCAGGUGCGACAGCGUGGGGAGCAAACAGG
rnacentral:rRNA from 1 species